CCGGCAGUCAGUUCAGAAGGGUGUGCCCGGGUUUUGUACCACGAGUGCAUCAAUGGGACUUUCCCAUAAACAUUGACUUCAGUAUCACCAAAAAUGGACGAGACAAGAGAGAGGAGACGAUUGCCGUGAGAUACAAGCUCGCUUGAGUACCAGGAAAGGAAGAAGUCACCAUAAGGACUUUCCCACGACCCACCGUGAUCCUUGAAGAAACUAUUUGAGUUCGGUGCCUGAUCAUAAGUAGGGGCAUCAUGUGGACCACCUAGACCCCAUAAUGGGUUUCCAUUUGCUUCAGCAUAUUGCUUAAGAAGGUUAAGCAUGUUUGUGUCAUAACAUUGGAACUCCCCGACUCCAGUAAUCGUGCCACUCUUGGCAGGCUUGUGGUGUGAGGGAUACCGGAGUUCACCAUCUGGUCCAAGACCCAUUGAG
rnacentral:lncRNA from 1 species